rnacentral:snRNA from 1 species
AUGCUCACUUUGGCAGCAGAUAUAUUAAAAUUUGAACAAUACAGAGAAGAUUAGAAUUGCCCCUGCACAAGGAUGACACACAAAUUCAUGAAGUAUUCUAUAUUUUA